GGGGAAUUUUCCGCAAUGGGCGAAAGCCUGACGGAGCAAUACCGCGUGAGGGAGGAAGGCUCUUGGGUCGUAAACCUCUUUUCUCAAGGAAGAAAGAUGACGGUACUUGAGGAAUAAGCAUCGGCUAACUCCGUGCCAGCAGCCGCGGUAAUACGGAGGAUGCAAGCGUUAUCCGGAAUGAUUGGGCGUAAAGGGUCCGCAGGUGGAACUGAAAGUCUGCUGUUAAAGAAUUUGGCUCAACCAGAUAAAAGCAGUGGAAACUACAGAACUAGAGUAUGGUAGGGGUAGAAGGAAUUCCUAGUGUAGCGGCGAAAUGCGUAGAUAUUAGGAAGAACACCGGUGGCGAAAGCGUUCUACUAGACCAAGACUGACACUGAGGGACGAAAGCUAGGG
rnacentral:rRNA from 1 species